GACGAACGCUGGCGGCGUGCUUAACACAUGCAAGUCGAACGGAAAGGCCCUGCUUUUGUGGGGUGCUCGUGUGGCGAACGGGUGAGUAACACGUGAGUAACCUGCCCUUGACUUUGGGAUAACUUCAGGAAAAUGGGGCUAAUACCGGAUAGGAGCUCCUGCUGCAUGGGGGGGGUUGGAAAGUUUCGGCGGUUGGGGAUGGACUCGCGGCUUAUCAGCUUGUUGGUGGGGUAGUUGCUUACCAAGGCUUUGACGGGUAGCCGGCCUGAGAGGGUGACCGGCCACAUUGGGACUGAGAUACGGACCAGACUCCUACGGGAGGCAGCAGUGGGGAACAUUGCACAAUGGGCGGAAGCCUGAUGCAGCAACGCCGCGUGCGGGAUGACGGCCUUCGGGUUGUAAACCGCUUUCGCCUGUGACGAAGCGUGAGUGACGGUAAUGGAUAAAGAAGCACCGGCUAACUACGUG
rnacentral:rRNA from 1 species